rnacentral:rRNA from 1 species
GACGAACGCUGGCGGCGUGCUUAACACAUGCAAGUCGAGCGAGGCCCCUCCUUCGGGAGGGUGUCCUAGCGGCGAACGGGUGAGUAACACGUGGGCAACCUGCCCCCGGCUCUGGGAUAACUCCAAGAAAUUGGGGCUAAUACCGGAUAUGACCGCUGACCGCAUGGUCUGGUGGUGGAAAGAUUUAUCGGCUGGGGAUGGGCCCGCGGCCUAUCAGCUUGUUGGUGGUGUAGUGGCCUACCAAGGCGACGACGGGUAGCCGGCCUGAGAGGGUGACCGGCCACACUGGGACUGAGACACUGCCCAGACUCCUACGGGAGGCAGCAGUGGGGAAUAUUGCGCAAUGGGCGGAAGCCUGACGCAGCGACGCCGCGUGGGGGAUGACGGCCUUCGGGUUGUAAACCUCUUUCAGCAGGGACGAAGCGAAAGUGACGGUACCUGCAGAAGAAGCACCGGCCAACUACGUGCCAGCCGCCGCGGUAA